rnacentral:rRNA from 1 species
UACCAGCUCUCCGAGUGGUGGGGACGUUUAUUGGGCUUAAAGCAUCCGUAGCCGGCUGGGCAAGCCCCCUGUUAAAUCUAACGAUUCAAUCGUUGGAUUGCGGGGGAUACUGCUCGGCAAGGGGGCGGGAGAGGCCGACGGUAUUCCCGGGGUAGGGGUGAAAUCCUAUAAUCCCGGGAGGACCACCAGUGGCGAAGGCUGUCGGCUAGAACGCGCCCGACGGUGAGGGAUGAAAGCUGGGGGAGCGAACCGG